rnacentral:lncRNA from 1 species
AUGGGGGUGGUGCGGGCUGACUCAUCCCCUCCCUGGGCUGGAAGCCAGCACUCAGCUACCUGUUGGGCCAGUCAAGUAGGGGCGGGGCAGUCAGUCAGCCCCUCCCAGGACCUGCCCUCAGGCCAGUCCGGAGCAGCGACCCAUCAGGCCCAACACACAACCAGGGCUGGACCCCAGGAAGUGAAGAAAGCCAGCGGUGAGCACAUGGUCAGGUCCACUGAUAGCCCAUGA